UGCGGCGCUGCGGUCGCGACCAAUCACAGACGAGAAGUAAUCCUAGGACGCAUUCAAGGUCGGUUGGCGUGCUGCUGGGUGAGACGUAAAAAGCGGAGUGUACGUUUUCUCCUUUUUAAGUUUUUUUUUUUUUUUUUUUUAAGCACACAGGAAAAAAGGAAGGGAGCGUCCGGGUGUACACGUGCAGUCACUCUCAAUAAUCACCGCAGCGAAAAGGGAUCCGGGCUCCACGUCGGGCUCCACGUCGCAGCGGGCGCACGGUGCACGGUGCCCGUCCCCCUCCACUACGGAAUCCAUGCCUGGUUUUGGCACGUUGCCCCCUUUGCAGCAUCCCCGCUACUCUUUAAUGAGGAGGGGAGAUAUCUGGGAAAUGAUCAGCGCACGCAGCCUGACGCAGACAGACAGACAGACAGACAGACAGAGUUCACGUUGCCCUGCUCGGAGCUGCAGGGUUGUGGUCCUGCGCUCCGUGCUGGGCUGUCUGCAGGCCUUGUUAUCAUGAGGGGGGGGGGGUGACCCUGCCAUCUGUAGGCCACUUGUUUGUAAACACUGAGGGACAGUCUGUGCGGCAGUGUGUGUGUGUGUGUGUGUGUGUGUGUGUGUGUGGGCCCUAUCGGACAGGGUGUAAGAACUAAUGAUCAGGCGUUAAGUGUUUGUCAUUGAAUGCAGCACGCAGGUAGAAUCAACAUCAGAGUAAUGAUCUUAUUACACAAAAGUGUCAUUUAUUGGAGUAAUAGUGUGCCAACAGUAAUUAGUUACACUACUAGUUAAGUUACUUUUCUGCUACGCUUCACCAAAAAUUGGUAGUUGUGUCUCUUUCUCCCCAAAAUUCAAACUUUAAAAAUCCAGUUUUGUUUGUUAAAAUCAAUCUAAUAGGAUAGAGUUUCCUCCACAAUUACAAAAAUGAAUCCAGAUACAGGGGGGAAAUGUUUUAGUUACACUACUAGUUACUGGGAAAAGUAACUGUAAUAUUAUUACUAGCAAUGCCCAGAAACACUGUUUUGAAUUUGUGAAGACAUAAAAAUGUCAACAGAGGUCGAAAACAGAAGGAGAAAACCAGUGAGACUACCCACAAUACUGAAUAUGUCCGUUCCUCUUUGUGGAAAUAAUAAAACAUACAAAAGAUUUAAUGGGAUGAACUUUGGCUCUUUAUACGACUUAUAUUAGUCACUGAGGCUCUGAGGUUGUGAACUCUUUACAGAGCUGCAGCAAACAGCUGUUAAUGAAGGCAACAAUGUUUACGUCUUUAUUUCUAGCUUCUUAUAUUUGAUAAAUUAUCUGUUUGUAAUAGCUGUAACAUUAAAUAUGUGUGUUAUUUUUGUCACAUAAGAUGAGACAUUUGAACACAUCAGUGUGGCUCUAUAGGGACUUGAAACAGGCUCUUUUUUAAAAUAAUUGUAUCACAUUUUAAGAGUAAAAAGUAGAAAAUAGGCAGAAUAAUCAACAUAUCAAUGGAUUCCUUUUACAACCCUAAAGCUGAACAUUGCAUUGAGCUAAAAUUCAGAUUUUUUUGUCCAUACCAUUAAAACUAACGUCUCUUCUGUCAUGUGAGCACCAGUUUCUCAUCCUUAUAGUAAAACAGGAAGACUCGUGUAUGGUGGAAAUGUGUCUGAAUAAUCCUCUCAGAUAAUAUCAUCUUUGUCCUAAACUGUCAGUGUUAUUAAAAUGGUGGAAUGUAACUAAGUACAAAUGUGAGGUGCUUGUACUUUAUUUUAAUGCCUUUAUUACUUCUACUCUACAUUUCAGAGUGAAACUUUAAUGUCAUUAUCUGACAGCUGUCGUUACUUCAGGUGAACAUUUUUACAAACCAUAUAAGAUAAAAUAAGAUGUUUCUUUUUUGAUCCCCCGUAGGAGAAAUUCAAAUUCAAUGAACUUCCUUUGAAGAAAUAAUAAAAUAUGAUGUUCACCUCGGUCUAAGGUUUGCUGAAUCACUGACAACUUUUAAAUCACUUCUUAAUCAGAAUCAGAAUCAGGUUUAUUGCCACAUACGAGGAAGUUACCUUCGUACACGGGUGCAUGAGAAUCACAAUCAAGCGUAGAAAAAUAUAAAUUAAAAUAUAAAAUAGAGACAAUAAAAAGGAGCCACUUUAUACGAAUGCAAAGAGUGAGAGAAUAUGUACACAACGAACAGAUACUUUAAAUAAAAGAGUAAAGAGCUGUGCAGAAAUGUGCAAAAGAAAUCGACCAGGAAUUCUGCGAGUUAUCAGUGUGACAUAUAUCUGUGCAAUGUGCAAGAUAACACCACCAACAGAAGUGCAUUCAUGUAAUGUAUAUACACAGGAUGGGUUUAAGAGCCAGUGUCAGUGGGGGUCCGGGGUGGGAGGGGUCCUCAGGGUCCUGGAGGGGUACAGGUUCAGGAGAGAUGGCCGAUUGCAGUCUGUAUAUUGUUAUUGUUGGUUUUAUAUUAGCGAUGGGUAUUUUCUGCUUUUAAUUUAGUAUCUUUUAAUUGUUUAAAACUAUUUGCCCCAGUGUCGUUAGUUUUUAUCUGUUUUAUUGUUGGUUUAUUGUUUUUACCUUACUUCUGUGUGAUUUUACUUCUCUGACUUUAUUCUACCUUAUUGCCUCCUGGAAUGUUUUUAAUCCGGGUUCCAGCCAUGUAAGGCCCUUUGUAACUGUAUACAUAAAUAUAAGUCUACUUUUCAUUCUUCUCUACAUUAUUUUAAGUUAUUUUAAUACAAAUCUGUAUAUAAAUAUAUUUUGCACUUGCUUUGGCAAUGUAAACGUCUGUUUCCCAUGCCAAUAAAGCCCUUAUGAAUUA